rnacentral:rRNA from 1 species
UCAAAGAUUAAGCCAUGCAUGUCUCAGUACAAGCCAAAUUAAGGUGAAACCGCGAAAGGCUCAUUAAAUCAGUUAUGGUUCCUUAGAUCGUACCCACACUUACUUGGAUAACUGUGGUAAUUCUAGAGCUAAUACAUGCAAACAGAGCUCCGACCGGAGACGGAAGGAGUGCUUUUAUUAGAUCAAAACCAAUCGGUGGCGAGUUCGCGCUCGUCAUCGUACAACUUGGUGACUCUGAAUAACUUUACGCUGAUCGCACGGUCUUUGCACCGGCGACGCAUCUUUCAAAUGUCUGCCUUAUCAACUGUCGAUGGUAGGUUCUGCGCCUACCAUGGUUGUAACGGGUAACGGGGAAUCAGGGUUCGAUUCCGGAGAGGGAGCCUGAGAAACGGCUACCACAUCCAAGGAAGGCAGCAGGCGCGCAAAUUACCCACUCCCGGCACGGGGA